rnacentral:rRNA from 1 species
CUGCGGAAGGAUCAUUACCGAGUGAGGGCCCUCUGGGUCCAACCUCCCACCCGUGUUUAUUUUACCUUGUUGCUUCGGCGGGCCCGCCUUAACUGGCCGCCGGGGGGCUUACGCCCCCGGGCCCGCGCCCGCCGAAGACACCCUCGAACUCUGUCUGAAGAUUGUAGUCUGAGUGAAAAUAUAAAUUAUUUAAAACUUUCAACAACGGAUCUCUUGGUUCCGGCAUCGAUGAAGAACGCAGCGAAAUGCGAUACGUAAUGUGAAUUGCAAAUUCAGUGAAUCAUCGAGUCUUUGAACGCACAUUGCGCCCCCUGGUAUUCCGGGGGGCAUGCCUGUCCGAGCGUCAUUGCUGCCCUCAAGCACGGCUUGUGUGUUGGGCCCCGUCCUCCGAUCCCGGGGGACGGGCCCGAAAGGCAGCGGCGGCACCGCGUCCGGUCCUCGAGCGUAUGGGGCUUUGUCACCCGCUCUGUAGGCCCGGCCGGCGCUUGCCGAUCAACCCAAAUUUUUAUCCAGGUUGACCUCGGAUCAGGUAGGGAUACCCGCUGAACUUAAGCAUAUC